CUGUAUUUGUGAAAACCCCAACUCAUUCUCUGCGUUGCCUAUCCUUCUUCCCACACUCAACCCUCUGCCCUCCAAAGCAUCCCCCUUUGCCCAUUCAUUGCCCCAGAGUAGAUAGCCGUCUCGGUUCUGCCUUGCCGUCGCGGAGUAGGGCUCGGCCUUGACUGUCAUGGUAAUUGGUAUGUCGACUGGACUUCUUUCCUUGAUGAAGCUACCUUAUCACUGCUCAAUUGACCAAUUCCACCCGUAACUGUUUCUGCCGUUGAUUGAACAGAAGCUGUUCUCCAGCAACUCAGGAGCUGCAUUGCGAGUUUCGAGAUCGCCGCUUCUCGUCGCUUCACUUUCCGGUCAAUGCCGCGGAAGCACGCGUCAUCUCACCUCAUCCGCCGCUACCUCUCCAGGAUUCUUCCCCAGGUUUGGCAACCCAGUAAGUGUGGGUUCGCCGGCAAUGAAGAAAGUUGAGCGGUAUUCUGUUCGGAAAGUUACCGAUGAUGGCCUCUGUCUGUUCCAUGCACUGGUAAAAGGAAUGGCUAUCAGCCUAUCAACAAGGGUAUGAGACUCGGCCCAAGGGAAGAGAGAGAGAGAGUGCAGGUCCGUGUAUCAUCAGACUUAUGAUUUACGUAUGGCUGUAAAAGAAGUUAUAUGUGACAAUGAAAAAGAGCGCUUUCAGUUUGAAGAGGCUUUGGUUGCAAUAACUGUUGAGGAAUCUCUGAAACGUUACUGCCAACGCAUUGGAAGGCCAGAUUUCUGGGGGGAGAGCCUGAACUUUUGCAUCAGGUGCUGUCAAUGUUGUGCUGCCAGCCAAUAGUUGUAUACAUCCCGCAACGUGAGACUUUCUCCUUAGACAAAGGUUGUCAUGAUAGUCACUCUUUUCACCAGACCUUAUAUACAUCUGCACACUCAUCUUCAGAUAGUAACGAGAACUCAUGCCAGCUGCAUCCUCACAUUUGUGGAAGGGGAGCCGGUUCAUUCCGGUUCAUACAAGCUCCAAUUAGGUUUUCAAAUGCGACAGCGGGUGCGUCAUCCACCCAAUGCUUCUGCAAGGAUUCAAAGUAUGAAGGAACAUUUCGAGCAAACGUGGAAUGCGCCAUUUGCCAAGCUAAACAAGAAGAUUUAUCGGUUCACGAGUCCAACCAUUUCAGAUCGAUUGUGCCUUUUGAGAUAUGGAUCAUUCCUCGUAAACACUCUUCUCAUUUCCAUGAUAUUGAUCCUGAUAUGACAAAUGAUCUUGGUGGUGUGUUGAAGCUUAUGCUGGGGAAGAUGAGUUUGCAGUUGAAAUAAUAUGGUGAUACACAGUGCUCCUCUUCGAACAGAGUCGACUCAGAAAGUUCUUCAUCUAACGGUGGUGGGAGGAUUUGAGCUCGGAACUGGAUGCUACAUCAACCCUGUUCUGCCGGAGGAUGCUGUGCAAAGGUGUUGAGGGAAGUAAGAGUUCAGGAUUAGAGGCUUGUAGUGUGCAUGAAUUCAAUUCUUGAUGUAAAUCAUUUGAUUCGGUUAGGACAUGUAUACCUUAGAUUUUCAAAUAGAGAGUUUUUUUUUUAACUUUUAAUGAAGGACGAUGGUUGAUAUGUCUUGUUUGUAAUCCACUUGGCAUUAUUUUAACCA